rnacentral:rRNA from 1 species
UACGUAGGGGGCAAGCGUUGUCCGGAAUCAUUGGGCGUAAAGAGCGUGUAGGCGGCCCGAUAAGUCCGCCGUGAAAGUCCAGGGCUCAACCCUGGAAUGCCGGUGGAAACUGUCGGGCUGGAGUCCGGAAGAGGUGAGUGGAAUUCCUGGUGUAGCGGUGAAAUGCGCAGAUAUCAGGAGGAACACCAAUGGCGAAGGCAGCUCACUGGGACGAUACUGACGCUGAGACGCGAAAGCGUGGGGAGCAAACAGG